rnacentral:rRNA from 1 species
UACGUAGGGGGCUAGCGUUGUCCGGAUUUAUUGGGCGUAAAGAGCGUGUAGGCGGCCAUGUAGGUCCGGUGUGAAAACUCGAGGCUUAACCUCAAGAUGUCAUCGGAAACCAUUUGGCUAGAGUCCGGAAGAGGAGAGUGGAAUUCCUGGUGUAGCGGUGAAAUGCGCAGAUAUCAGGAAGAACACCAAUGGCGAAAGCAGCUCUCUGGGACGGUACUGACGCUGAGACGCGAAAGCCAGGGGAGCAAACGGG